AUUGAACGCUGGCGGCAGGCUUAACACAUGCAAGUCGAACGAGUGGCGGACGGGUGAGUAAUGCUUGGGAAUCUGCCUUAUGGAGGGGGAUAACUACUGGAAACUGUAGCUAAUACCGCGUACCAUCGGAUGAGCCCAAGUGGGAUUAGGUAGUUGGUGGGGUAAAGGCUCACCAAGCCGACGAUCUCUAGCUGGUCUGAGAGGAUGACCAGCCACACUGGGACUGAGACACGGCCCAGACUCCUACGGGAGGCAGCAGUGGGGAAUAUUUGGCAAUGGACGAAAGUUGACCGAGCAAAGCCGCGUGAGUGAAGAAGGUUUUCGGAUCGUAAAACUCUGUGGUUAGAGAGGCGGUAUCUAAACAGAAAGCCACGGCUAACUACGUGCCAGCAGCCGCGGUAAUUC
rnacentral:rRNA from 1 species